UAAAAAAAUAUAAAAUAAUUUGCAAUUCAUCGUUGCACUGAGCUCAACUAUGGGUUGUCCGGGCACAGCAAAAUGCCCCCCAUUUUGGAUUUCUCUUCACACAAAUCAAAUCACAUCCUAAGAAAAACGUCAUAAUUGUCAGAAAAAUGUGUCAGUUUAUGGGCGGUCUGCUUGUGUUGAUGUGCUACAGUAGCCAGCUUGCUAAAUCGGCCCUUUUCCUAAACCAUGGACGAUGAUGGGGAUUUGGACAUGUGGUUUUGACUUCAUUCUCAAAUCAAAUCAAAUAAUUCUCUGUACAGGCCAAUGAUUAUGACAGAGAUUCGGAUCUAACCAUAAAUGAAUAUGUUGUGCCACUGGCCUGAGACGAUUGAAGUUCCAUAUGUAGCCUGGUAGGCUCAUGUUAACUAGCUAUCUAACUUAGCUGGUUCACUGUUGCCCAUGCGACGAAGUCAGGCUAGUAAGCAUUUUAGCUAAGUAGCCUAUGACAAUAAAAACUAAAAGUGUACUGUAUGACAGAGCCAUAGACCGUUUUGUCAACAGGAUGGCAUUGGCCUUCAACUAGUCUACAAGUAGGGGCGUUAUUGUAUAUCACGGUGGCGUAUGAAGAAAUGGGUUAUAGAGCAAACAAAGGCUGUAAUAUGGCUUUUUAACUGGCUUGGCUUCCUCAGUGAUAUUACCCACGCACUGCUACUGCCCAUUAGCUGUUGCCAAGGCAGCAGCUACUCUUGCUGGGGGCAAAACAGGUUGUUACUGCUCUAUUCCUAAACGUUCCAGUGGUGGAUGCCUAACUAGGCCAGCACAGUAGAGCUUGGCUCGGCUUCAACAGCAGUAGAGCUUGGCUCGCUUCAACGGCAGUAGAGCUUGGCUCUGCUUCAACGGCAGUAGAGCUUGGCUCGGCUUCAACGGCAGUAGAGCUUGGCUCGGCUUCAACGGCAGUAGAGCUUGGCUCGGCUUCAACGGCAGUAGAACUUGGCUCGGCUUCAACGGCAGUAGAACUUGGCUCGGCUUCAACGGCAGUAGAACUUGGCUCGGCUUCAACGGCAGUAGAACUUGGCUCGGCUUCAACGGCAGUAGAACUUGGCUCGGCGUCAACGGCAGUAGAACUUGGCUCUGCUCCAACGGCAGUAGAGCUUGGCUCUGCUCCAACGGCAGUAGAGCUUGGCUCUGCUUCAACGGCAGUAGAGCUUGGCUCGGCUUCAACGGCAGUAGAGCUUGGCACGGCUUCAACGGCAGUAGAGCUUGGCUCGGCUUCAACAGCAGUAGAACUUGGCUCGGCUUAACCAACAGGGCUGUUUCAUAAAGAGGAACGGCUGCUGUAUGAUGAAUACCAAACACUCACAGAUUUCCCUUUAGACUGUCUUGAUGGACUGCCAGCUCAUUGUGUUCUUCUUGUGGAUUGUCAGCCAUUAUUUUAAAUGCCUCUCCUGAGAGACUCGUCUCCAUAAACUCUUGUCCUUCACCGCAGCCCGCCCUCCCCUCGCCAGUCCACUUGUAAAACAGACACAUUAUAUUAUUAGUCUUACUCAUGUUUCCUCCGAGGCCCACUGCCCUGCCCAAAGCCUCAACUAAUCGCUCAGUGUGUGUGUGUGUUUGAUUGUGUGUGUGUGUGUCUGUGUUUAAAACCUAUACAUUAGCAGAUAUAGGCCUACAUGUUGUGCAAUCACACAAUAAAGACCACGAUUACAAAAAAAUCUCAGUGGUCAACAAACCUUG